rnacentral:rRNA from 1 species
AUUGAACGCUGGCGGCAUGCUUUACACAUGCAAGUCGAACGGUAACAGGUUAAGCUGACGAGUGGCGAACGGGUGAGUAAUGCAUCGGAACGUGCCCGAUCGUGGGGGAUAACGCAGCGAAAGCUGCGCUAAUACCGCAUACGAUCUGAGGAUGAAAGCGGGGGACCGUAAGGCCUCGCGCGAUCGGAGCGGCCGAUGUCAGAUUAGGUAGUUGGUGGGGUAAAGGCUCACCAAGCCAACGAUCUGUAGCUGGUCUGAGAGGACGACCAGCCACACUGGGACGGAGACACGGCCCAGACUCCUACGGGAGGCAGCAGUGGGGAAUUUUGGACAAUGGGCGCAAGCCUGAUCCAGCAAUGCCGCGUGCAGGAUGAAGGCCUUCGGGUUGUAAACUGCUUUUGUACGGAACGAAACGGUGAGCUUUAAUACAGUUUGCUAAUGACGGUACCGUAAGAAUAAGCACCGGCUAACUACGUGCCAGCCGCCGCCGUAA